ensembl:lncRNA
GUUAAUACGCAACCUAUGGUUUCAUCUGCCAGUCUUCAAGCAGAAGACCACGCUUCCCCCUCCAACACCAUUUUCAAGUUUUAUAGCUUAGUGUAACCAUUUUAAUUGUUCUUUUUCUGCAAGGCAUGAAGAUAAACCAUGCAUGAAUCAAUACAUGAAUGAAUCAGCCUCUGGUCUAGCUCACUGAUGUACUCAUCAUUUAUAUCCUUGCAUAAUUUACAGAAAUUGAAAGUGUAGUGAGGCUUUGCAUUCAGCUGAAUGUGGUUUGUUUACACAGUCCAAUAGAGUUUCACGUUCCAGAAAAGCUGAUUCUGCAGGGAUUGCUCAAGCAGGAUAAAAACAUCUAAAGCUUUGUGCUAAAAUAGAUGCAGUUAAGUGCCUAGGUGUCCCAUCACUUUUAGCCAAAUCUUAAUGAGAACACUGACAUCUUGGCUUUGUUGUGCAUGGUUUCACUUAAUUCAGAGGUAGCUGGGGCUCCCUGCACAAAAUUCAGUAGGCUGGAGUAUUAGCCUUUGGCUGAAAGAAAGACUAAGAUUCAUCUCAGUGAACUGCAGCUGCUUGAAAGUUAGGCAUCUAAACUAAUUUACUUGUCCAGGUUCCUGCAAUGACUGAGACACCUCCCCCACCUGGCUGUUCCUCUCAUAACCAGGAUUCACCUCCAGAGAUUACCACCUCUUGGAUGCCAUUCUCAAUUCUUCAUUUCCACUAACCUUAACAGGAUGUGAGACCACAAAAAGCAAGACACAUUAACUAUUCCCAGCACUUCUAGAAAAAUACCCUUACUAUCAGCAUGUUUCCUUCUGUUUUCUGUACCCACUUUGGCCAUACAUCACAGGAAUUAGGACUAAUGGGAAGAAAAUCCCUGCCAGGUUUCCUCAGAGCUCUUCUCCUUUGGCAAUGGUGUUUUUCCCCCAUUCUCUCCACUUUCACACAAACACACCCCACCAUUCCCCAGCCAACAAUGGAGACCGGGGGAUGAGGGGGGAGGGCAAACCCUGCAGACUGUCUGCCUCCACAGACUGUUAUUUUGGAUUUCAUUGACCUUUGAUAGGGCAACUCUUUUUCGGAUCGCUCUCUUGGUUGUAUUCUCCAGGGGAUAUGGCUUUUUACAUUACAAAUUUUGAAAGAUUCUAGGGAAGAAUUUCUGUCUCUCAAAAGCCCUAUAUCUGCUUGAAGUGUUUGGGUUUAUCAGUGACAAUUACAAAACAGAAGCAGUCUGUAUGUGAGGAAAGAUUUCUGUUUGUUGUUUGUAAGCUAUUUUCACUUUGGCUGUAGCUGUCAAGGGGGAUUUCACAGCCAUCCACAUUAUGUCUCACCCCUGUAGCUGAUAUCAGAGCAACCUUAGCUGCUUGAGUAGAAAAAAGAAUCAAGGAGACACAUUAUCUUUUAAAGAAAAGGAACAAAAAAUACUUUUGCAGAACCAACCUAGAGCUCUGCAUCAAAUACCAUCUGUGUUUAAAAAGAAACACAGGGUUGUGAUGUUAAUGAAUUAUUGUUAUUUCCUAGAGGCACAGAUGAAGUGUUUGGUUUUGUGCAAAUCAGAAGUCUCAAACCAGCCCUGUCCCAUUAGCACGGCACAUCAAACACCACAAGCUGAUUUUUGGUUUUUUGGUUCAGCUGAAGGCUGAGGAUUUACACCACUAACAACAGCCACGCAUAUGGUCACAUACAGUCAGGAAAUGAACAACUCUGCAUGAACCGAAGAGAGCGAGGGUGCAAUAAAAACAUAUCCUGCAAAGGGAUCUGUGACGGGAAAUGGGAGGAGAGCUCAGCUUGCAAGAGAAGAACAAAGCCUGUCUCUCUCCAGACUCCACUCUUCAGCAACAUACCACUCAGGAAAGGCCCUGAAAUCCAAAACAUCACUGAGGAGAUGUUUCAGUCUGUGUGAAGGUCAACACCCAGGGUACUGAGAGGGCACCAAGAGGUGCAUCGUGACAAAGAGGCCUGUCCCCCUGCAGAGCCUGGGCCUGGGCUUCAGAAGAUGCUGAUGAAGGCACUGGGUUUGUCCCAUCAUCCAAACACUUACAAUGAGGUGGUAUAUUGCUCCUCAGACAUGGAUGAGAUGCAUACUUCCAUCUGAGAAAUCAAGUCAGAACAGAAUAAGAUGCUUGAAGACUCCUGACAGGAAAAGACAAAAGAAGAUUAGAAACCUUGCAUGCAGCAGCAAAAACAGACUGUGAAUAUUGAAAGCAGGAUCCUGGAUUUUAAAUACAAGCUCAAUUUUCAGGUUUGGAUUUAACCUCUGCAUGUGAGCACAUCUGCCAGAUGAUCCAACCCACUGAUGCUACCUGCCCUCCUAAGCUGAUCUCCCUGGCUGAAGGGUCAGGAGGAGUACUGCCAACCUGGACAGGGUUUCUCAUCUUGAAGCAGAAGAUAGGAAGAGUACAUUCAAGUUAUGAAAUGCAGCAUCAGGGAGAAGAACAGUGCUGGGCCAAAAACCUUGCUUUGCCCCACCACUCAGCAUCGUGCUGCAGCAGGGAGAGGGCAGCAGUCCCUCUGGUACCCCUAUUCUCCAUGCAAAGAGCAGCAGACGGCGGUGAUCAGAUCCAGCCUUGCUGACCUUGCACCAACAUGGAUAUGGAGCAGCCACAUGGUGAGAGCACUGGAAAAGAAGCUUAAAAUCUGCUCCAACUGUUUCCCAGCAGGUGUUUACUUCCUCCCAGCUGACAAGCGUGACUUGCUGUACAAACACACACACCCCUUUGCGGACAAAGUCAAACAAGCAAACCUUUGGCAGCAAUUUAAGUUUGUGUGACAUUGCUCUUAGAUACUUUAAGAGCAAUUAUAUGGCAGGUAACUGCCUCUCCUCUGGGAGGUGGCAACAAAGGGCUGGGAGUUCAAAGACAUGCCAGAGUCAUUUAUUCAGUUAUGAUAAUAACCAGGGAGUAAAUUACAACAGACUGUGAAACAGAAUUGCUAUUAGAUUUAACAACAGAUGGGUAAUUGUUCCCAAAUCCUGACAAUACUGAAAUGUGCACCUUAAUGAUUUCAACCCCAUGUGAAGUGACUGGGCUCCGGCUUGGAGCCUCCAGUGUAGAUUUAGAUAUAAGUGCAGAAACCAGGGACAUCCCUGAGCAAUAGCACCAGUGGGUAGGAACAUUGCCCCUCUGCCUUUCUGGUCCUGUCCUGUGGGGGACCCACAGCUCUUUUGGCCUUGUGAGAGCUGAGUCCCACCUACAGCAUCACAAGGAAGACAGUUUGAUCUAGAUGUAAAAAAGGGAUUGCUGAACCUAAAAGCAGGAAAGAAAUAGAAAAAGAGAGGAAGAAAAUGCUGUCCAGGAGGAGUAAUAACAGCAUGUGCCAGAGGGAACAAGUUCCCUGCCUGGCAACGUCCCUUCCUGUGGUCCAGGAUGAAAAAAAAGGACUGCUCUGUGCUGAAAUGGAUGGAUGGCUGUAUAGGGUGAGGAGCUGCACCUGGAUGCGACAUAAAACCAAGGCCCUUAUUAUGGUGUCCACUCAUCAAAGCUCUUAUCAUUUUUACUUUCAAAGAACAGAACGUGACACCUUGUUUCCUGUUUUAAACCAGGUCAUUAACUAAUUUUUCCCUUUCAGUGUAAAUACUAUUUUCCUUUGUGGUGGCAUUCUUUGCUGUUGGGUGCCAUGACAGUGCUACACUGCUGUCUUCCCUGACAGAAGUCACAGUAAGGGAAAAUAAUUUUAGCCAAAACAUUUUUGUCAGUGAUAUUCUGGCUGAAAAUCCCUCUACACCUAUGUCUCAGCUGCAGAUUUGCCCUAAGACUUCCUGUAAUCUUUCUGGUGAAGCUCCACUACACACAAAUCAAAUCAAGAGAAGCUCUCAUCAGUGUGAAAUACAACAGAGAGCAUUUCCCAGGCUAUAUGUCCUGAUUAAGUGCAUUUUGUUCCCAAAUUUACAGCAUGAUUUAGAUUUUCAUGUGUUGUUCUGUUGCAAAAAAUAGUCCUUACUCAAGACCAGUCUGCAUUAUGCUUUCAAAACUAUCACAGUGCUGGAGGGAACCUGCAGUACCAAUACCAGAGAUAAUUCCAUCACAGAUCAUUCCCCUUUGUUGGAGAAAGCUUUUGUUUUGGCCACCUAUAGAGCCACUAUCCAGCUCUCUGUGUGAAUGUACAGGAAAGCACAUGUAUGUACUGAGUUGAGAACAACCAGUUUCACUUCACGGCAGAUGUUAGCAGCCUGGUGCUCCUAGCUGAAUACCUGAUACAUUAUUCCGUGUUUAUUAACCACCAAUUUAUAGGCCAGAUUUUUAGACAGUGUACAUCUGGACUUCUCUGCUGAGGUUGCUCCUUUGUAUUACGCAAGCUGCAGUCUGUAGCAUAUCUCACAUUACAUAACAUUUUCAUAUUUAUAACUAAAGUAUUUUAGAAGCAUUCUUUAAUAUUUUGACUGGAAAGCAGAGCACUGUCUUCUUUUGAAAUGCGUGUUAGAAUGACAGGGACAGAGGACAGAUAGUAAGCAAAGAUAUACAGCGGGGUUUUAUUUUCUUGCAUCCAUGCAUAACUGAUCCAAACAUUUUAGAGUAUAGAAUGUAACGUGCUGCUUAGCACUGACAAAAGCACCAGGUGUUACCUGAUGACAAGAAACUGGUUCAGAGUUGCAGAAACAAGACAUUUCAAGUGUCCUUAGGCUUUCCUCUGUGAAAUCAAACACUUCUCAUAGAAUACCGAGGUUACCAAACUCACAGAGCAUCUCAUUGAAGCAUAUGUUUUUGAACCAAAAGGCCACAGUGCUCAGUCUGAGGUCAGCAAUAGCUGUAACACCCAGCACACCCCAUACAAGAAUGAGCCAGUCACCUUAUAUGAGUCAGUCGUGAGAGACCUUGCUUGUCACUUUAGAUAAUUUUCACAAACAGACCAGUCAAGACCUGUGGAUCCAAUUGUUGGUAUCACUUAGUUGAGCAGAGUUUGCAAACCAGGACUUGAUGGGCCAGAUUGGCCAGCUCCUUAUGUCUCCCAUGUGCUGACGAGACUCCACCAACACUGCUGGUUGUACAUGGAGGUAUUUGGAGGGGCUGCCAGGCUCCCUGCAUCCCAUCAGAUUCCCACCAAAAGGCAUUCAAAGGGAAUUUUAAGCAUCAGGGUUAACCGUGCUCCAAGCAAAAGCAAAGGAAGAAAAAAUAACAUAGCUGUUAAUUGUUUUGAUUUUAAAAUGCAUCUCAUUAUAUGCAAAUUUAGUUGUGUUUCUUUUUUUUUUUUCCAGAGUAGUCAACUUUUGAAUAAAUCACACUGCUCCUGCCACUCACAGUGCUGUCAAGUUACUUGUCAAAAUCAACGUGGUCAGGUGGGUCCAUUUCCAGCCCCUGUGCAGGCUACAUUACCUGCCGCUUUUGGAUGUGCUGUUAGUUCAGACAGGCUGCAUGAGAAAAGGGGCAUGAGAGCAUUUCUGGGCUUUCCACCACGCUAGUGAUUUGUUAGUGUUCUAGCCAUGCCAGUGCAUGCUGAAGUCUUUUGUCCCUCCUUUGAAAGAAAUCUCAUCGUCAUCAGACAGCCUAUAAAUUCCAUUAAUCUGAAAUAAUAUUUAAUGAUCAGCUACAAAAUCCCUUUGGUUAACAAACCAAACAUUGUGCUGCUUUGCAGGAGAAUGUAAGUGGUGUGAACAGUCACCUCCACAGCUCCUGUUCCCACUUGCUCUCCAGCUUUGGCAAGGGCAGGGAUAUGAAUUCCUUCACGUUCCCAUUCGCAGGGUGAUAACAGCACUAAUGACGGUGGUGUUGACAAGGUGGGGUCAUUUAUCAGUCUCCUGCCUGACCUUACUGGGAGCUCAGCUGCAGAUGACGCACCAGGUGUCACAGGGUGCUGUCGUCUGCCCCAGGGGGCUGCCAGCUCCGGACCCCUGCAGCCUCUGUGACGCUCUCCAGAGAGGCAGAGCUCUUCACGUGCGUCAGGCACAACAUUACAUGUUGGUCAUGGGUCACACGAAUGUGACGCAUAGUGCUAAAAGCCCUGAAGCUGUGCCUCCAGUGUCAUCGCAGCCUUCUCAAGUUUCCCCUGGUCUUCUCUUUCCUGGGGUGGGAAGUCCUCCUCCCAUGAGCAGCAGCAGGAAACUGAGCCCCCUCCUGCUGCUGUGUACACGAUCCUGUGCCUUGCAGAACAAAGGGAUAUGCUCCAGAAACAGCCUGCAGGGAUGUAGUGUAAAUUAAAGCAAAAGAACAACAACAACAACAAAAUGUAGAUGGAGCUACUAGUACAAUCAGCAUUACUUUCUUCUUCUGUUCAAAAAAUCCUGCUUUUCAUCUGUUUAUCGUUUUGUCAGAUGUGUGGAGGGGGAAGUUUUCCAAGCCAGGUGUCUCUCUUUGGCUGAAUCUUUUAUUUAAUUAUUUUGCAGAGUUUCAGCAAAGUGCCUCAGCCGUUUCCUGGAAUGAAACUGGGGGCAGGGGAAGGAGAGGGAAAUGUUGUCAAGGCAACAGUAAUCCCAUUAUUUUCUAACUUCUGAGUGCCUGAGUAGGCAACCUUUAUCUUCUUUCUGUGCCGUUUUUGUACAUAAUAAUAACAGCCACAAUUAUUCUCAUCGGCUUUAAGAAAAGUGAAGCAGGAAUAGCGAAGGGACAGUAAGACAUGCUUUUGCAAACAAAACAAACUAGUGCCGUCGUACUGCUGAUUGCUGGAUAUCCUGCUGCUGUGUUGAAAAAAGGCAUUCAGGGCCCAACUGCUCUGCUUGCAAUGUCCCUCUAAAUUGCCCUCCAUCCGGACAAGAUCAAGAAGCUCAUUUCCUCAUCUUGAAGUGCAACUGACAGCCUCCACACGCUCUGGUAUUGAAAUCGUUGAGCAUAUGUUAGUGUGCAGCAAUCAUUUCCCUCCAGAUUUUACGGCUCAUUGUCAUUUUUCACACAAUAAAAUGUUUUAAUGAGGAGGAAGGCUCUGCUUUAUGUUUUGGGGAAGGUCCCUGGGGAGAGAAUUGUAAUUUCUGCAUGAUGGCGGAGACUUUCAAAUCAUAUUGCAUCAGUUAUGAUUUGCCAGACAAAAUGCGUUUGAAGCAUAAACUAAGCUUACAGCACAUUUGUAAAGCUCACAAAAUAAAAGAAAAACAUAGAAAAAGAAAAACCUACUGGCCUCCCAGCAGUCCUGCUGGCUUUACGUACUUUCCUU